GCAUAACGCGAAGAACCUUACCAGGUCUUGACAUCCCGCUGACCGCUAUGGAGACAUAGCCUUCCCUUCGGGGACAGCGGUGACAGGUGGUGCAUGGUUGUCGUCAGCUCGUGUCGUGAGAUGUUGGGUUAAGUCCCGCAACGAGCGCAACCCUUGAGAUUAGUUGCCAUCAUUCAGUUGGGCACUCUAAUCUGACUGCCGGUGAUAAACCGGAGGAAGGUGGGGAUGACGUCAAAUCAUCAUGCCCCUUAUGACCUGGGCUACACACGUGCUACAAUGGACGGUACAAACGGUUGCCAACCCGCGAGGGGGAGCCAAUCCGAUAAAACCGUUCUCAGUUCGGAUUGUAGGCUGCAACUCGCCUACAUGAAGCUGGAAUCGCUAGUAAUCGCGGAUCAGCAUGCCGCGGUGAAUACGUUCCCGGGUCUUGUACACACCG
rnacentral:rRNA from 1 species